UACGAAGGGGGCUAGCGUUGUUCGGAUUUACUGGGCGUAAAGCGCACGUAGGCGGAUCGUUAAGUCGGGGGUGAAAUCCUGGAGCUCAACUCCAGAACUGCCUUUGAUACUGGCGAGCUUCGAGUUCGGGAGAGGUGAGUGGAACUGCGAGUGUAGAGGUGAAAUUCGUAGAUAUUCGCAAGAACACCAGUGGCGAAGGCGGCUCACUGGCCCGAUACUGACGCUGAGGUGCGAAAGCGUGGGGAGCAAACAGGG
rnacentral:rRNA from 1 species